AGUGGAAACAAAGGACUUUUUGUUGCUCUAUAGUAUGGCUGGAGUUCACUGCAGGAUUUGCUUUGGAUAUGUCAAAACAAGUGCAUUGCUUAAAGAUGGCAUGUUAUUGGUUUUUCCUAAAUAAUCUCUAAUUUUCGAUUUCAAUUUCCGCCACCAAACCAAGCUUAUACAUUGCUUGCUAGAAUCCCCAUAGAGGGACAUGAUCUAGAGGUUCUACAACCC
rnacentral:lncRNA from 1 species